UCCAAAACUCAAAGGAAUUGACGGGGGCCCGCACAAGCGGUGGAGCAUGUGGUUAAUUCGAAGCCACGCGCAGAACCUUACCAGCCUUUGACAUGGCAGGACGACUUCCGGAGACGGAUUUCUUCCAGCAAUGGACCUGCACACAGGUGCUGCAUGGCUGUCGUCAGCUCGUGUCGUGAGAUGUUGGGUUAAGUCCCGCAACGAGCGCAACCCUCGCCUCUAGUUGCCAGCAUUCAGUUGGGCACUCUAGAGGGACUGCCGGUGAUAAGCCGAGAGGAAGGUGGGGAUGACGUCAAGUCCCCAUGGCCCUUACGGGCUGGGCUACACACGUGCUACAAUGGUGGUGACAGUGGGAUGCAAAAGGGCGACCUCUAGCAAAUCUCAAAAAA
rnacentral:rRNA from 1 species